rnacentral:lncRNA from 1 species
UUUGUGUGACUUACAGUCACAGAAGUAUGGAUUUGGGGGCUCUGUGGUGUCGGGCAUCUGUCUUGGGAACGUGGCUCACUGUUCCGUCCCUUGUAGAGUUUUCUACUGGAUCUUUGGAGCACGCCUUGCUCAACCAAAACAGGCUGCCUUUCAAGGACCUUCCAUAAUUCUCUGUGGAGAACUCAGAGGCGUCCUUUCACACAAGAUGUCAAUGACAGGCACAGCCGAUGCAUGCUGGAUACUGCAGAGCAAGGACAUUCUCCUCAAAAGGUCUCAGCUCACCACCCAUCGGGCCACACUAAGGAAUGUGGGGAGAGAUUCCCAAAGGAAAGAUUAUAACUAAGAAAAUGUCCUAUGUCUCCUAAAGUAUGAACUGGUGUUUCAGUCAUAUCGAUCAAUGGGCACAGAAGAGAUAGCAGCGUGUUGGGAACCAGGAAGAAGGUCAAAGAAUCAGAAGAAAAUACCCAAGGCGAGAGGAGAAGAUGCCUCUGGAAGCGGACUUCAAGUAUCCUGUAGUGUAAGAGGCUGACCUUCCAGUGACAAUGGUGAUCUCAGUUCUUCUGGCUUACUCUCACCACAGUGUGCUCCUUCAUCAUGGAGAUGUCUGUCUUGAGUCCCUGCAUGGAUAGAAUCGUCCCUGGAUUCAAGAGAACACAAUGAACUGAGUGAGCCCUUUCCACCUCAAGCCUGAGGAAGGAAACUAUGGUGAGAACCCUGCCCAAGA